rnacentral:snoRNA from 1 species
AACCCUAUAAUCUCCUUUCCCAUCAAUCUAAACGCUGGUCUGAGUGGUUACAACACGGGGAAAAUAACAUGGAAACUGACGCCUGUGCUUCUGUGGCACCUGGGCGAUCUUCAAACAGGU